CGCGUGAGGGAUGAAGGUUUAUGGAUCGUAAACCUCUUUUAUAAGGGAAUAAGUGCGGGACGUGUCCCGUUUUGUAUGUACCUUAUGAAUAAGGAUCGGCUAACUCCGUGCCAGCAGCCGCGGUAAUACGGAGGAUCCGAGCGUUAUCCGGAUUUAUUGGGUUUAAAGGGUGCGUAGGCGGCCUUUUAAGUCAGCGGUGAAAGUCUGUGGCUCAACCAUAGAAUUGCCGUUGAAACUGGGGGGCUUGAGUAUGUUUGAG
rnacentral:rRNA from 1 species